ensembl:antisense Rsf1os2 remodeling and spacing factor 1, opposite strand 2
AGCAUGCGGUUGACCAUAGAGACGGGAUGUUCUAGGCAACUCAGAGGUCAUAGGAGCAAACCCCGAGAGAGGAUGUAUAAGGAAUACCAAGCCUUUCCCAACAAAAAGCGGGAAGGGACCCAGGCCCCAGGAGUCCCUCGCCGAAGGAGGACUCACAGAAAUAAAAUCCACACGCAUCUGGAGAUCCCAAGUCUCCCGGCUGGGUGCACGAGUCUACCCUGCUUCCGCCUCGUCAGGCCUGUUCUCCUUGGGUUCACACAGCCAUUUACCAGACCUCUUAGUCCCCACGUCGCCGGAGAGAUCGAGCGCCCCAUCCCCACGAGUCAUGCCACGAGCACGAAAAGGUUACAUUAAUGAUGGACAGUGCGCAGCAAGACAGUCAAAAGACUGCCCAAGGGAAAGGUAGGCCACUGGUUAGGAACCCUUGCCUUCCCUGUUCGCUAGGUUCCAGUGAAUAAGAGCAGUGAAAACCUACAGGUUUGGUGAAUAGAAACCCAUAACAGAGACCUAUAGACCACACAGCAUACGGACUUUACCUCUUAUAUUUCUUCAUGGAUUCCUUCGUGGUUUUUGAGACAGGGCUUCUUUAAGUAUCCCAGGCUGGCUUCCAAUACAUAAUCGAUUUGCACCGAACUCCAGUUUACUGGUACUACUAUGAGCACCCAUCACCACACUUGCUCAAUUAAUUUUUUUCUUUAUGAUACACAAUAUGAACACAUUUUCUAUUACCCACUUUAACAGAUGGGACCUGAGGCAUUAAACUCACAAGCUAGAGUUGGUGGAUGGAAUUCAGUCAGUUGACCUCUAGACUCCACUUUUUUUUGGCUGUAGAAUUGUAAUAUCUAUGGGGCUAAGGCUGUUUAGGUUGGAUAACAUACAUGGAGGAUGUGAUAGCAGUUUUAUCUUUCUUUCUCUUCUUCCUCCUUUUUUUCCUUUGGAUUCUUUUCAACAGAGGAAUCUAAAGAUUUUUUUCCUCACAUAUAUGUAUAUACCUACCUACAUACAGUCAGAUGUGAGCCACCCUGCCUGGGCGCAGUGACCCUAUCUGCAAAGGCAUUAGGCAGUCUCACAAGCUGACCCAUGUCUCCAGUCAGUUCCAAGUGUUACGUUUUAAAAUUUAGUUUGUUGUUAGUGAGACUAGGAGGCAGGUCCCCUGAACAGGAAUGAGAAGGUGGGAGUGGAGUAAGGGAGGGGAUGAGAAAAGAUUCUAGAACUCUCUGAAGGUUAAAAUCCUCGUCAUGUGGAUAUAGAUUGAGAGGAAGAAUUUGUGACGAUGAAGACAAGAAUAGACAAAGAAGAGAGGUUAAAUAUCGUUUCUAAAUUUCCAGUUUAAAAAGUUGAGUAGGUGUGCUUUCUAAGUGGUAGAUUUCAGAAAGAGGUUUUCAAGGUAGGUUCCAAGGGUAGCAGAUAGAGUUCUUGCUGGAUUAGCUUGGGUUGAAUCCCCAGUACUUAAAAAGAGUAGCCUAUGAGUCUGAUUGGAGAAAUGGUUAAUCUGAGACAUUCCCUAAGACAUUUAUUUGGUGAAACAAACAGUGCUUGGUUCAGAAAAGGAGCCCCCAUGUAUGUCAGAGAAAACUGGCAAGAACCAGUAUAGUAGUUUCUCAUCAAUUUGUCUUAGUCUUCAGAAUCAUUUACAUUGUAAUAGCCCAAUGGCAAGACAUUUUAUACAAGGUGCUAAGUGAAGAAAGAAAUCUUAGCUGUGAAGAAGAUCCCUCCAAGCACUGGGUGCCAGGCUCCAGCAUUUUAAUGCAAACCAUCACCUGGAAACAACUGACAGAGCCCCGUAAAGAUAAGAGGUUAUAAGGGUUCCUGCCUUUGGGUAACAGUAAGAGUUAGGCUUACAAACCCACUCUUACUAGACCAGAACUACUACUAUUAGAACAUAGGGACAUGUUCUAAUGAGGUUUGAUCAUUAUUAUGUUCUUUAUUUUUGGCCCCUAUAGUAGAAUAAAAUGAUUUGUUUGGAGAGGUCAUAGUACAACGACAGGUAUCCCACUAGAAAAUAAAAUGUUAAAGAACAGACAAAACAGGCUUGUAAUAGAAAAUCAGAGAACCGAAGUGUGAGGGGUGUUCUCUCCUGUUGUGUCAGCUUUCUGUAACAGUUUCUGACCGUGGAAUUCAGUUGUUGCCACAGAGCCUGCUGGCUUCUUGGAAUUUCUCUUAGAAACUAGUGACAUUUUUGUAAGAACUUUUAAAUACAGUUUAAUAAUUCCAUGACCUGUUCAUUUUAAACACUGAAAGUCGAGCAAGAGAUAAUUAGAAGACAGAUUAAAUAGGAACAUACCCAUCUUUUUCAUGCUUCAGAGAAGAACAUUAUAUAAAGAAGAAUACUCAGAAGAAUGGAGAUGAGAGACAAAGAGAACUGAAAAGAGAAAGGCUCAAAAGCAAUAGGAAAGCUACCAGGUCACAGACACAGACAGGGGUUAGAAUCUUCUAGGGGUUAGGCUAGAAAGAUGGAAACUGAGUCAGGUGGCUCUGAAAUGGGCAAGAGGUACUGGACAGGGAAGGUGGUCUGUACCACAAGCUUGUCUUGUAGGUUCUAGCUAACUUUCCCUAGAGAUGACUGUAUGCACUAGUGAUGUAUACACUAGGCCACAUCCUCUUAGUGCUCUUUCUCUGAUUGUCGUUUAGACUUUGAAUAAUCUUGAACUUAUUGUCAGAAUUACUCAAGGCUUUAUCUCAUCCAGAAGGCUCCUAACAUCUAACAUUUAAUUUCAUUAAAAUAGUUUUAUUAUAAUUCCACAUCGACUAAAUAAUCACCAUUUAGUGCUUUAAAGCUUAGUUUUUAAAAUGAACCAUCCUCAGGUCUCUUAAUCGAAGAUAAAAGUUGACAGCUAAGUUCUAGCCCCAUGCUCAGCUAAGACUCUUAAAUGUUAGGGCUAGGUUUGGAAAGGUGGCUUAGCACUUAAGAGUAGAAGCCAAUCUUUCAGAGGACAAGGGCUCUAAUCUCAGCACCCACAUGGUGGCUCAUACCUGUCUAGUGUAGGGGAUCCACUGCCCUCUUAGGACGUCCAAGUACACCAUGCGUGUAUAUUGUUAAACAGGCAUACAUGCAGAUAAAAUACCCACAUACAAAAAGAUUUUUAAAAAGAU